rnacentral:rRNA from 1 species
UACAGAGGGUGCAAGCGUUGUUCGGAAUUAUUGGCGUAAAGCGCGUGUAGGCGGCUUUGCAAGUCGGGUGUGAAAGCCCUCAGCUCAACUGAGGAAGUGCGCCCGAAACUGCAGAGCUUGAGUACCGGAGAGGAUGGUGGAAUUCCCCAAGUAGAGGUGAAAUUCGUAGAUAUGGGGAGGAACACCGGUGGCGAAGGCGACCAUCUGGACGGAGUACGUGACGCUGAGACGCGAAAGCGUGGGUAGCAAACGAGG